UUAGCGCGUGGGGUGACUGUGUCAGGUGGGCAGUUUGUCUGGGGCGGUCGCCUCCUAAAGAGUAUCGGAGGCGCCCAAAGGUUCCCUCAGAAUGGUUGGAAAUCAUUCGCAGUGUGUAAAGGCACAAGGGAGCUUGACUGCGAGACUGACUAGUCGAGCAGGGACGAUUGUCGGGCUUAGUGAUCCGGUGGUUCCGCUUGGUAGGGCCAUCGCUCAUCGGAUAAAAGCUACCCCGGGGAUUACAGGCUUAUCUCCCCCUAGAG
rnacentral:rRNA from 1 species